GACGAACGCUGGCGGCGUGCUUAACACAUGCAAGUCGAGCGGUAAGGCCCCUUCGGGGGUACACGAGCGGCGAACGGGUGAGUAACACGUGAGCAAUCUGCCCUUCACUUUGGGAUAACUCUGGGAAACGAGAGCUAAUACCGAAUACGACCACUUCAGGCAUCUGAUGGUGGUGGAAAGUUCCGGCGGUGAAGGAUGAGCUCGCGGCCUAUCAGCUAGUUGGUGGAGUAACGGCCCACCAAGGCUUCGACGGGUAGCCGGCCUGAGAGGGUGACCGGCCACACUGGGACUGAGACACGGCCCAGACUCCUACGGGAGGCAGCAGUGGGGAAUAUUGGACAAUGGGCGAAAGCCUGAUCCAGCAACGCCGCGUGAGGGAUGACGGGCCUUCGGGUUGGUAAACCGUACUUUCUAGUAGGGACGGAAGGACGCGAAGUAGACGGUACCGUACAGAAGAAAGACACCGGCCAACCUACGUAG
rnacentral:rRNA from 1 species